AUGCGCGAGCCUCUCGCCUUUCCAGACCGAGUCACAUUCGCCCACGGCCCAGGCCUGAAGCCCCAAGAAGCCGCCACGCGAUCUCCGGCCCCGACCCAUCCCGCUAAGAGACAAGGUUCCGAAGUCCGGGGACCUCGUCGGACCCGCGCAUCAGUUUCCAUCCCCCCUCGACCCCUCGGCGACCCUCCCCGAACUCCCGACAGCCAACCAUUCAGCCCCAGCACCGCGUUUCGUCCAUCCCCUGCUCCAGCAGGGGAGCGUGACGGUCGCCGCGUCCAGUGCAACCAGGAAACUGGAAGCCGGAAGUGGGGCCGGGCGCCGGAAGUAACACUGCCAAGCGCCUCAAUCGAGUACCGACAAAUCAAGAAGUCGAGCCCGGAGUGGAUCGAUAAGCCACAGUCUCCAAGGCGGCAGUUGAGAAUCCUUCCGCGCACACGCACGUCUCUCUGGCUGGAAGAAGAGAUUCUCCUCCAUUAUAGGUUAUUACAAAAUAUUGAAUAUAGUUCCCUGUGCUAUAUGUCGAAGGUUCUAAAUAAGACUGGUCAGCUUAGAAGCCUGAAAGAGAUUUGUUCUAAGUUAUUUCCUCAUGACUGAAAUUGCAAACGUCAGAUUCCAUUACAAGUGGCAAAGACAAGAGCUCCUCUCUGGCUUCAUUCAGCACAAGGUGGCCCAGAAGUCUGUGCCCUCAGACUUGGGGACCCUCUUAUAUUUAUUGAGCACCUACAACAUCCUGAAUCCUCUUAGGUACUAAAGACAUGACAGUAGCUGAAGAAGCAUAGAUGUGCCACCUGCUGUCACAGGGAUUCUGAUGUCUCUGAUGUGUCAGACCAAAAGUCAAUGUUUGUGCAUGGUGAGUAGCUACUGUGGAUAACAAACUUACCCCAGACUUAUGGUUUAAGACAACUGUUUGAUUAUGUCUCAUUGCCUCUCUGGGUCAGGAAUUCAGUCAGGGUGUGGCUUGGUGGUUCUUCUUUCUUCUACUCCUUCUGGAGCCACCUAAGUCACUCAGUGGGGCUCAGGUGGCAGGUGGGUUGGUCUAGAGGAUCCCAACAGUUGCACUUACAUGUCUGGUAGCAUGAGUGGCUAAAGACUGAGCUCACAAGGGACUGUCAACUGAAGCAACCAGGCAUGGUGUUUCCAGAACCUGGUGGUCUCAGGGCCAAUGACUUUCUUAUAUAGGGGCAGGUUUCCCCAUACCAAGCAUCCUAGGAAAGCUAGGUGGAAGCUACAUGAUCUUUUUGGACCUAGACUGGAGAGUCAUACAACAAAACUUUAAAAAAUUUCUUGUUGAUUACAAGUGAGUCAUAAGGCCAGCCUAAAUUCAAGGGGAAGGAAACUGAAUUCCAUUUGUUGGUGUGGGAAUGGCAAAUUCACACUGUAGAAAACUUGUGGGAAGGGAGAUACUACUAUGGCCAUCUUUAUUUUAUAUUGAAAAAAAUUGUAGUUAGAGUUACCUGGACUCAGUUUAGAUGAUCCCAAGUUUGUUGGUGACACCCUAAGCAUCAUAAUGGAGAGCUAGUCAAACAUAUGCAUUCUUCUCUCCAUCAGCCCUGAUCUGGUUUUGACCUUGGCCACAUCAAUGUCAUAGAACAUCUUCACAGCCCAUUUUGUCUGGUGCUCAUUGGCUUUGACAUCCACAACGAGCAUGAACCAGUGAGUUGUUGUCUUCUCUCUCCUUCACUAGAGUGUUCUCUCUCCUUCACCUGGAGUGUUCCCCAGGCAAAGUAAAUACUUCUUACAAAGGCCCUGAGAUUAAAAGAAAUUAUUUGCCAAAUUUGAAUAACUAUAAAAAGAAAAAGAAAAGAGCAGUAUAGCUGGAUCAGAUCAUGUAGCAUCUUGAAAGCCAUGAUUUAGAUGCUAUGCCAAGAGCAAUAGAAGUCAGAUGUUCAAAAAAAAGAAGUCAGAUGUUCAAGCAGAGGAGGAACAUGAUCUGAGGCUUUGUGUGGAUCUUUCUGAAUAAAUUGGAGGGGUCAAGUCUGGGCCAGUUAGGAAAUUGCUGCAAUAUUCAACUGAUGAUGAGGUUAGGCUGAAUUAAUGUGGCAUCAGAGAAAUAGACAUUUAAAUGCUGUUUUCUUUUUUCUUUUGGGGGCCACACCUGUAGCAUAUGGAAGUUCCCAGGGCAGGGGUCAAAUCAGAGCUACAGCAGCUGGCCUACACUACAGCCACA